rnacentral:rRNA from 1 species
UGGAGCGGCGAACGGGUGAGUAACACGUGGGCAACCUGCCCUCAGCUCUGGGACAACUCCGGGAAACCGGGGCUAAUACCGGAUACGAUCUUCUGCGGCAUUGCAGGGGAUGGAAAGUUUUUCGGCUGAGGAUGGGCCCGCGGCCUAUCAGCUUGUUGGUGGGGUAAUGGCCUACCAAGGCGACGACGGGUAGCCGGCCUGAGAGGGCGACCGGCCACACUGGGACUGAGACACGGCCCAGACUCCUACGGGAGGCAGCAGUGGGGAAUAUUGCGCAAUGGGCGAAAGCCUGACGCAGCGACGCCGCGUGAGGGAUGAAGGCCUUCGGGUUGUAAACCUCUUUCAGCAGGGACGAAGCGAAAGUGACGGUACCUGCAGAAGAAGCACCGGCCAACUACGUGCCAGCAGCCGCGGUAAUACGUAGGGUGCAAGCGUUGUCCGGAGUUAUUGGGCGUAAAGAGCUCGUAGGCGG